rnacentral:rRNA from 1 species
GUCUUAAAGGUUUUAAUUUUAAGUCUAAUCUGCCCAAUGAAUUUUUUAAAUGGCUGCAGAAUUUUUUACUGUACAAAGGUAGCAUAAUAAUUUGUUUUUUAAUUAAAAACUUGAAUGAAUGAUUUAAUGAAAUAUAAACUUUUUCAAUUAAAUUUUAUUAAAUUUUUUAUUUAAGUAAAAAAACUUAAAUAAUUUUUAAAGACGAUAAGACCCUAUAGAAUUUUAUUUAUUUUAUAAUUAAAUUUAAUUUUAAAGUAAAUUUUAUUGGGGUAAUAAAAAAAUUUAUAAAAUUUUUUUUUUAUUAAACAAUUAUAAUUGAAUAAAUUAUCUUAAUUUUUAAAUUAAAAAAAUUAAUUACCUUAGGGAUAACAGCAUAAUUUUUUUUAAAAGAUCUUAUUAAUAAAAAAGAUUAU